GAUGAACGCUGGCGGCGUGCCUAAUACAUGCAAGUCGAGCGAACAGACGAGGAGCUUGCUCCUCUGACGUUAGCGGCGGACGGGUGAGUAACACGUGGAUAACCUACCUAUAUGACUGGGAUAACUUCGGGAAACCGGAGCUAAUACCGGAUAAUAUAUUGAACCGCAUGGUUCAAUAGUUAAAGACGGCUUUGCUGUCACUUAUAGCUGGAUCCGCGCCGCAUUAGCUAGUUGGUAAGGUAACGGCUUACCAAGGCGACGAUGCGUAGCCGACCUGAGAGGGUGAUCGGCCACACUGGAACUGAGACACGGUCCAGACUCCUACGGGAGGCAGCAGUAGGGAAUCUUCCGCAAUGGGCGAAAGCCUGACGGAGCAACGCCGCGUGAGUGAUGAAGGUCUUCGGAUCGUAAAACUCUGUUAUUAGGGAAGAACAAAUGUGUAAGUAACUAUGCACGUCUUGACGGUACCUAAUCAGAAAGCCACGGCUAACUACGUG
rnacentral:rRNA from 1 species